GGCUCUGUGGCGCAAUGGAUAGCGCCUUGGACUCCUAAUUCGAAGGUUGUGGGUUCAAGUCCCACCAGAGUCA